ACGGGAGGCAGCAGUGGGGAAUAUUGCGCAAUGGGCGGAAGCCUGACGCAGCGACGCCGCGUGGGGGAUGACGGCCUUCGGGUUGUAAACCUCUUUCGCCAGGGACGAAGCUUUUGUGACGGUACCUGGAGAAGAAGCACCGGCCAACUACGUGCCAGCAGCCGCGGUAACACGUAGGGUGCGAGCGUUGUCCGGAAUUAUUGGGCGUAAAGAGCUCGUAGGCGGUGUGUCGCGUCGGCCGUGAAAACUUGGGGCUUAACUCUGAGCGUGCGGUCGAUACGGGCAUCACUUGAGUUCGGCAGGGGAGACUGGAAUUCCUGGUGUAGCGGUGAAAUGCGCAGAUAUCAGGAGGAACACCGGUGGCGAAGGCGGGUCUCUGGGCCGAUACUGACGCUGAGGAGCGAAAGCGUGGGGAGCGAACAGGAUUAGAUACCCUGGUAGUCCACGCCGUAAACGUUGGGCGCUAGGUGUGGGGACCAUUCCACGGUUUCUGUGCCGCAGCUAACGCAUUAAGCGCCCCGCCUGGGGAGUACGGCCGCAAGGCUAAAACUCAAAGGAAUUGAC
rnacentral:rRNA from 1 species